rnacentral:rRNA from 1 species
AGUGAACGCUGGCGGUAGGCCUAACACAUGCAAGUCGAACGGCAGCACAGUAAGAGCUUGCUCUUACGGGUGGCGAGUGGCGGACGGGUGAGGAAUACAUCGGAAUCUACUUUUUCGUAGGGGGAUAACGUAGGGAAACUUACGCUAAUACCGCAUACGACCUACGGGUGAAAGCAGGGGAUCUUCGGACCUUGCGCGAUUGAAUGAGCCGAUGUCGGAUUAGCUAGUUGGCGGGGUAAAGGCCCACCAAGGCGACGAUCCGUAGCUGGUCUGAGAGGAUGAUCAGCCACACUGGAACUGAGACACGGUCCAGACUCCUACGGGAGGCAGCAGUGGGGAAUAUUGGACAAUGGGCGCAAGCCUGAUCCAGCCAUACCGCGUGGGUGAAGAAGGCCUUCGGGUUGCAAAGCCCUUUUGUUGGGAAAGAAAAGCAGCAGGUUAAUACCCCGCUGUUCUGACGGUACCCAAAGAAUAAGCACCGGCUAACUUCGUG